CCCCUUUCGCGGCGCCGCCUGGUCCCCUAUAUUCAAUCCUGCCGGAGGCAUCCGGCUAUGGUGAUAAACGUUCGCCGCAAUAAACCCUUCGGACCCGGGGGCAGUACCCGGCGCCUCCACCAAAGUCCGCGCAAGUUCGCGGAUUUCGGCGGGGGCGAAACAGGAUCGACGGGGGCGUAAAGGGCGGGCUUUUGCCCGGCAUGGUACCGCCGUUAUCGGGCCUUUCUAUAGUUGCCAACGACAACUAUGCUCCGGUUGCUCAGGCCGCGUGAGCGGUUUGAAAGACCAAACCUAAAGUCCUGACGGUCUAGCAGCUGUCGGGCGGGGCCCGGAGGCGCCUGGCAACAGAAGCCUCCACU
rnacentral:tmRNA from 1 species